UACGGGGGGGGCAAGCGUUGUUCGGAAUUACUGGGCGUAAAGGGCGCGUAGGCGGCCUACUAAGUCGGACGUGAAAUCCCUCGGCUCAACCGGGGAACUGCGUCCGAUACUGGUGGGCUUGAAUCCGGGAGAGGGAUGUGGAAUUCCCGGUGUAGCGGUGAAAUGCGCAGAUAUCGGGAGGAACACCAAUGGCGAAGGCAGCUCGCUGGGGCGUGACUGACGCUGAGACGCGAAAGCGUGGGGAGCAAACAGG
rnacentral:rRNA from 1 species